AUAUUCUCCCGUACGGGAAGGAUGAGGACCUUCGACUAAGGUUCGACUCGAGCGAUAGCGAGAGAACGUUGCGCAGCAACGGCCCGCAGGGCGAGGAACGAAGUGACGAGUAAUCCUUCCCCCACCACCA
rfam:Shimwellia blattae DSM 4481 = NBRC 105725, complete genome.